UAGGGAAUCUUCCACAAUGGACGAAAGUCUGAUGGAGCAACGCCGCGUGAGUGAUGAAGGGUUUCGGCUCGUAAAACUCUGUUGUUGGAGAAGAACGGGUGUCAGAGUAACUGUUGACAUCGUGACGGUAUCCAACCAGAAAGCCACGGCUAACUACGUGCCAGCAGCCGCGGUAAUACGUAGGUGGCAAGCGUUGUCCGGAUUUAUUGGGCGUAAAGCGAGCGCAGGCGGUUUUUUAGGUCUGAUGUGAAAGCCUUCGGCUUAACCGGAGAAGUGCAUCGGAAACCGGGAGACUUGAGUGCAGAAGAGGACAGUGGAACUCCAUGUGUAGCGGUGAAAUGCGUAGAUAUAUGGAAGAACACCAGUGGCGAAGGCGGCUGUCUGGUCUGCAACUGACGCUGAGGCUCGAAAGCAUGGGUAGCGAACAGGAUUAGAUACCCUG
rnacentral:rRNA from 1 species